rnacentral:sRNA from 12 species
UGCCUAACCCUCGUGAAAUUAACUUUUCGAGGUAUGGCAGAAAACAACCAUCCCUGAUACUGAACCCCUCGUUCAGCGACUCAGGGAUGGGCAUGUCCGAAAGGGCAUGUGAACCGUAAGGUUC